AUUGAACGCUGGCGGAAUGCUUUACACAUGCAAGUCGAACGGUAGAGGGGCAACCCUUGAGAGUGGCGAACGGGUGAGUAAUGUAUCGGAACAUGCCCAGUCGUGGGGGAUAACGUAGCGAAAGUUACGCUAAUACCGCAUACGAUCCAUGGAUGAAAGCGGGGGAUCGCAAGACCUCGCGCGAUUGGAGUGGCCGAUAUCAGAUUAGGUAGUUGGCGGGGUAAAGGCCUACCAAGCCGACGAUCUGUAGCUGGUCUGAGAGGACGACCAGCCACACUGGGACUGAGACACGGCCCAGACUCCUACGGGAGGCAGCAGUGGGGAAUUUUGGACAAUGGGCGCAAGCCUGAUCCAGCCAUUCCGCGUGCAGGAAGAAGGCCUUCGGGUUGUAAACUGCUUUUGUACGGAACGAAACGCGCUGAGCUAAUACCUCGGCGUAAUGACGGUACCGUAGGAAUAAGCACCGGCUAACUACGUGCCAGCAGCCGCCGUAACAC
rnacentral:rRNA from 1 species